GAAGAUUUAUAAGCAGAUAGGGAGGGUCUCCAGGAAUAACAGGAAUUUAAUCAACCACCUAUCAGCUUGGUUUACCACCUCCUGCCCUGCAGCCUGUUCUUCCCCAAACACUGGGUGGAAUGCAGUCACCUUAUUGGUUUAAACCAGCUCCUCAACGGAGCAGCAACACAGCAACAUAGAUGAACUCGAGUGAACUUUCUCAUGACCAUGCUAAAGUCUCCACCCUAGGUGGAGCUGUAGCUUCUUUACUAUAACAUGCAACCUAUGUGUUGACAUGAUGACUCGCUGCAUCUAUGCAACUAGGACCCCUCC
rnacentral:lncRNA from 1 species